CUGUAGGAAAGAAGUUGCCAAUACAUGCAAAUCUCUACUAGCUUCUGUCACCUCUGCCCUGUACAACACCACAUAUGUGGCCACGCCUGCCUUUCAAAAUAAUGGGAUAAUUGGGUGCAACGCGUGUCGCCCCCACCCCUUAAAGAGAGCCUGCCAGUCGGUCUUUGUGGAAAUCCACGGGGAGCCGGGUGAGCAAAACGCCAGUGUCUGACUUCGCCUUGAUUGCAUCUGUGCCCUACAAACUCCAACAGAAUUGAACUCACAGCUCCUCCUAAUUAGGGGAGAAAGAAAGACAAGAAUGAUAGCAGAAGAAUUUCUUCCUGCUUCUGACUGCAAGCUCUUCAGAGACAGCCCAUUAAGCCCCCAGCCUCCAACUUCUCUUUCCUGACUCAUAUCUGGAGUACCUAACACGGUGCCAGGUUCUCCCUGGGAUUAUAGCCCCGAGUGUGACAAGAGUGAUGAACAGGGGCUGGUUUGAAGAGCCAGUCCCUGCUCCGGGGGCCUGUCUCCGGUCUACUGUGAGGCAAUGCUGAGCGGCGGCCUAGGGGGGAUCUGGGAGGCCUCAAGCCAGACAGGAGAACAUUCUCGCGAAGCACAAUCACAAAAGAACAGAAUGUCCUGAUGUUUGGAAGCUGACCACAGGGAAUCUCAGGAUGCCAAAAAUCUCCUUUGGGACAUUAGAUGUGCCUUGAAUUUCACCACUACAAGUUCUACCAUCAGGGAAAGCCGAUAACACCUCUGGCCCUGUUUAAACAAGCCUUCCGCUUAGCUGCCCCGAAAGGCAGGCAGUGAUGAAUGGCGCCUACUACAAAAGAAAGCCGACGGGCACACAUGGGCCCGGUGUUGUUUCUGUCAGGGCAGCUCAAAGGGAAGGCCACACCACACGAAGGAUGUGCUUGCUUCUGCUUCUGCCAUGAUUGUAAGUUUCCUGAAGCCUCCCCAGCCCUGCAGAACUGUAAGUCAAUUAAAUUCUUUCCUUUAUAAAUUAC